CUGCAGAAGUGAAGACUUUUCUGAGUCACGUCUGAGUCUGAGGGAGUAUCCUAAGACAUUCACAAGAGCCUGUGGGAUUGGCUGUCAUGAACUGCCUGGGGCCAUGUGAAAGAAGAUAGAGACAAACGGAACUCUUGGAGAAGAGAGGAGGAAUAUUGAUGCUGUGCAAUCACGUUGAAUUUUACCUGGACCUCAAAGACUAAAAAUUUUAUCUAGUCUCAAAAACUAAGCCAUGUCCCAUUCUGACCCACUUCCCUAAGUGAAUCAUUGGGGUAACUUUCUUCAGCUCAUUCCCUAAACAAAAUCCCUCUGUUGCAAAUCUUUCAAGAUGGCUUUUUAGUUUCUUUUAUCAAACGUCUUUGUUGUAAACGAGGAAAGGGGCAUUCUGCAAUAUUUACCGAGCUCUCAACCCAUAGCAAACAGUUCUGGUUUCGCUCCAAGACAAAAAAUUGCUUAUUUUACUCCUAAAUCCUGGCUGUUUGAGAAGAUUAGGGUAUUCAGUCACCCCAGAGACCA